CGGGCCGUGUACUGCCAGACGGCUUCCCGGUCCAGCAGCGACUGGUCGCCGAAGUAGGCUCCGUCGGCGAGGACUUCGACGACCGCCUCGUCCCCGUAGGGACCCUCCCCCACCUUCUCCACCCGGCCGUGCGCCAGCAGGAAGAUCCGGUCCGCCGCCUGGCCGCCGGUCGCCAGCACCUCGCCCGCAGCGAACUCCCGCUGCUCGCACCGCUGAGCCAGCUCCGUCAGCGCCGCCUCGUCGUCGAAGUCCCGCAGCGCCGGAAGCUCCCCCAGUUCGGCCGGGAUCACGGCGACGCGGUCGCCGGUCUGGACGAACGUCACCCGCCCGUCGCCGACCGAGUAGCUGAGGCGGCGGUUCACCCGGUACGUGCCGCCCUGCACCUGCACCCACGGCAGCAUGCGCAGCAGCCACCGUGAGGUGAUCUCCUGCAUCUGCGGGACGGACUUGGUGGUGGUCGCGAGAUUCCGUGCGGCAGCGGUACCGAGACUCUGCUGAGGUGCCUG
rnacentral:antisense_RNA from 1 species